CAGCUUGCCACCUAGAGAUUCACUAUUCGAUGCUAAUUCUACUGGACUAUUUGGCGCCUCGGCGGUUCGCAUACCCGCUGAUGGUGCACCGGUUCAUCAUUAAGUUGAUGCGAUGACCAGCCACUGCCAGUAUUCAAUCAUAUCAAUAUGAUGUCAUGAUGUCAAUCGUGUUUUGUGUGUUAGUGUUAGUGGUGAAGGUGGUGUGGUAAGUGGUAAGGGUAUGUGAUGCGUCAUUUUGCAUUGACGUAGCGACUGGCGAUGGCGAGAUGGCGAAUUUUCGACGGGCGACGGUUGAAAGGGAACUGGGAAGAGAAGAGGGAGAACACAGUCUUUCAUUUUUUUCGAAUUACGACGCUUUUAUAUGUUUGUAAUUGAAGUAGUGUUUUUAAUUAUUACUGAACUCGAAGUUAAUGUUGUUUCAACGUAUUGUUUAUAGUCACCGGUAUUGAAUUCAAUCCAAGGUGGCAAUGAAUACUUGUGUUGAAGUACACUGUUAUAUUCCUCUGAUGGACGGCUCGCUGGAUUUUACUACUCUCCGGUGAUCGUUAAAUUCUCUUUGAACACGCGGAUUAUGAAUUCUCAGAGCUGGUGUAGUAUAGUAGUACUAGUACUGAAAUGUGAUCUAAUGUAAUGUAUAGUUGCAAUAGCUGAUCGACAGAAUUCAAAUCGUGAGUAUUAUCGUUUAGCUUUAAGUACGAGGUACGUAUUUUUAUUUUAUUACUUACCAUUGAUUUGAUGGGUUGUGUAACCGUAAGGCCGAAUGGCCGAUAACGUUGAAGUGCGACGCUAAAGCUAUUAACCUUAUUAUAAUUAUUUUGUGCAGAAUUCGGAAACUGUUUACUCCGAGAAUUUAUAGAGUUCGAGUAUUGGUGUCCGAUUUUGUAUUCCGUUCAUACAGUCUAAUUCACUCGAUGCAUUCGUCGUUGUGGAGCUGUUUUGCUCGCUAUAAAAGGGGUCAAGUAGAUAUCCGUUGAUAGAAGUACUGCACCAGAGGUAUCGAAGAAGUGGAACGAUAACUGCUUAUGUGCUUAUUAUGAACGAGUACUUCGUUUUUCAUGAAAAUAACUUCUUCGGCUGCUUUUCGAUCGAGUGUUCGUAUUUACGAAAAUUAUUUACCUAAAUGAAGCCUUUUAUGACGCGUUCACGAGUCAAGUAUCAGUUGCGAAGCUAUCAUCUAGAUACCUACGUAGAUAUUGGAAGUGCUGUCCGUUAUCAAAAGAAAUCGAUGAGUCAAAUAAUCACUUCUUAAGUCCUUAUUUUCAUGACUAGAUAUAUCUUCGGAUAAUUUUCGAACAAAGUGUUCGUUUCAAAUGGAACCAUUCAUUACUCAUUUAUGGAAGAAUGUAUCCGUUGAAGCUUUACGUAGGUACUUAUCAGAAGUACUGCUCCAUACCGAAGAGGUCGAAUGACCACAUGAACGAGUACAUGUAUUAUUAUGGGAAUAACUUCGUCUCGUCGGCUGAAUUCCAGUAAGGUGUUCUUGUAGAUGUGAAAAUUUUUGAACAUUGGCGGUCCCGUCGAUUUUUUUAAAAAACGCGAUGAAAUCUCAGCAGACUAUUUAUGAUCAAAUCGAUGGACUGCACCUUGAUGAUAUUGCAAGAUGUGAAAAUUUUUGAACAUUGUCAGCCUUAAGUUUACGUUUCCGUCGAUUUCCUUAAAAAAUGCGAUGAAAUCUCAGCAGAUUGAUUUAUGAUCAAAUCGAUGGACUGCACCUUGAUGAUAUUGCAAGGUAGGUACCUAUUGUUCGUAUUAGUGUCUUUGUUAAAUCAUCUUUCUUUUCACCAUGCAUAAUUAUGCAAUUUUUAAUUAGAAUAAUAUUUUUAUUUUUGCUUUUAUUGAAUUUUUGCUUUAAUUCAGAAACUUUUUGUAAAUUUUGAUCAUUUUUAAAUGUUGUUACGUCGUUGUAUCAAGUUUUAUCGAUGUUUUAAGCAAUUUCUGCAAGUUUGGCAUAUUUUGAGUGGAAUUACGUAAGUAAUGUUUUUGUGAUUUUCGAUCGUAUAAUUCCGAUUCUGGUGUACGAUAUUCGGGAAUUUUAGUAAUUCAAUUUUGAGUGUGAGCUUACUUGAUAAAGUUUCAUCAUUAUUUGAAGAAGUUUUUGCGAUUUGUUUUGUUGAUAUUGCAUUUACGCUAGUUUCACAAUUUUUAUGACACUUUAUGAAGUUGUGGCAUUGUUUCAUUCUUUGUUCAGUUCUGAUAGCGAAUUUGAAGAUGUUUUGAAACUUCUGAUAGUUUUAAUCUGCCCUAAGGUGUCCAUCUUUUUCCGAAUUUUAGAAAUAUUCGAAGUACCUUUUUUGAAGUUCUCUUCGGUGUUCCUGAAGUAUAUUUCAUUCUUGGUCAUUCGAUUGAAGUUUGUUUAAUAGUUUUUUACCUGAUGUAAUUUUCAAUAUUUUUUGUGAGAUUUUGUUUGAAUUUCGUGAUUUACGUCGACUGUCGGUCAUUUUCAAACUGUUUUCAUAAAUUAUUGAGGAUGUUUGUUGCGAUUUUCGGAAUAUGUUGUUCCAUUCUUUCUAUUUUUCAUCGAUUUAUGUAGUUUUUUGUCGAGUUUUCUUUUGCGAUUUUAUCAAUCGUUGGUGACUCUUAGUGAUCAGUUUGCUGAUUCUGACGUUCAUAAUACGCUGUGUAAUGUUUGCACUUAUAUUCCUAUUUGCGUAAAAUUUGAUCGUAAUUCUCAUCAAUUUAUGUCGGUAUUUCCGACAGCUUUUCUUAAAAAUUUCACUAUGUUUUAUCAUUUAUUCGUAAUUUUAAUCUAUUUCUGAAAUUUAAUUAUGUAUAAUUAGUUAUUUAUAUUCUAUUUUUGCGGUGUCUUAUUCUGUCGAAAUUUGAUCAAUUUUUGGCAUUUCCAAUGAUGCAGGCGAUAUAGCUCGGAUUUUGAAAAAUUUUGUCAUUAUAGAAUCGGUUCAAUUGCUUUAAUGUAAUUUUAAUGAUAUUUUUGAACGAUUUAGGUAUGUCAAGUUCAUACUUAUUAGUUAUUUUUACUGAAUAUUUCAUAAAUUUUUGGUGAUUUUCUCGACGAUUUCGUAGUAGCGUUUUUUUCAAUGUCGCAAUUUUCUAAAAUUUUAAUAUUUAUUCAAUUUUUUGCAUUUCCAAUGGUCUGGGUGUUUUUGCCCGAGUUUUGAGAAAUUUUAUCAUUAUCGAGUCGUUUUGAUUGUUUUAAAGUCGUUAUUAAUGAUUUUUUGAAUAAUUCAUGUCAAGUCCUGCUCAUUUUUAUUGAAAAACUCUAUCACUUUUUUGG